rnacentral:rRNA from 1 species
UAGCAUAUCAAUAAGCGGAGGAAAAGAAACUAACAAGGAUUCCCCUAGUAACUGCGAGUGAAGCGGGAAAAGCUCAAAUUUAAAAUCUGGUGGUCUUUGGCCAUCCGAGUUGUAAUCUAGAGAAGUGUUAUCCGCGCUGGACCGUGUACAAGUCUCCUGGAAUGGAGCGUCAUAGAGGGUGAGAAUCCCGUCUUUGACACGGACUGCCAGGGCUUUGUGAUGCGCUCUCAAAGAGUCGAGUUGUUUGGGAAUGCAGCUCAAAAUGGGUGGUAAAUUCCAUCUAAAGCUAAAUAUUGGCGAGAGACCGAUAGCGAACAAGUACCGUGAGGGAAAGAUGAAAAGAACUUUGGAAAGAGAGUUAAACAGUACGUGAAAUUGCUGAAAGGGAAACGCUUGAAGUCAGUCGCGUUGGCCGGGGAUCAACCUUGCUUUUGCUGGGCGUACUUUCCGGUUGACGGGUCAGCAUCAAUUUUGACCGUUGGAUAAAGUUCAGGGGAAUGUGGCAUCUUCGGAUGUGUUAUAGCCUUUGUUCGCAUACAACGGUUGGGAUUGAGGAACUCAGCACGCCGCAAGGCCGGGUAUUUAUACUACGUUCGUGCUUAGGAUGCUGGCAUAAUGGCUUUAAUCGACCCGUCUUGAAACACGGACCAAGGAGUCUAACAUGCCUGCGAGUGUUUGGGUGGAAAACCCGAGCGCGUAAUGAAAGUGAAAGUUGAGAUCCCUGUCGUGGGGAGCAUCGACGCCCGGACCAGACCUUUUGUGACGGAUCCGCGGUAGAGCAUGUAUGUUGGGACCCGAAAGAUGGUGAACUAUGCCUGAAUAGGGUGAAGCCAGAGGAAACUCUGGUGGAGGCUCGUAGCGAUUCUGACGUGCAAAUCGAUCGUCAAAUUUGGGUAUAGGGGCGAAAGACUAAUCGAACCAUCUAGUAGCUGGUUCCUGCCGAGCUCCC